UACGUAGGGUGCGAGCGUUAAUCGGAAUUACUGGGCGUAAAGCGUGCGUAGGCGGUUCGCUGUGUCCGAUGUGAAAGCCCCGGGCUUAACCUGGGAAUGGCAUUGGAAACUGGCGGGCUUGAGUGCGGCAGAGGGGGGUGGAAUUCCGCGUGUAGCAGUGAAAUGCGUAGAGAUGCGGAGGAACACCGAUGGCGAAGGCAGCCCCCUGGGUCGACACUGACGCUCAUGCACGAAAGCGUGGGGAGCAAACAGG
rnacentral:rRNA from 1 species